AGAGGUAGAGCUUGACGUGUUGGAGACGCGGCUACUCGUGGAUGCUCCAGAGAGGAUGAAGUCACCAAUACGUUGCCAGCUCCAUCACGUU
rnacentral:pre_miRNA from 1 species